GAUGAACGCUGGCGGCGUGCCUAAUACAUGCAAGUCGAGCGAACAGAUGAGGAGCUUGCUCCUCUGACGUUAGCGGAGGGCGGGUGAGUAACACGUGUAAAACCUACCUAUAAGACUGGGAUCACUUCGGGAAACCGGAGCAUAUAGCGUAUAAUAUCUUGAACCGUGGUGUUGAUUAGAAAAAUACGGUUUUGCUGUCUGUUAUCGAUGGAUCCCCGCCGCAUGAGCUAGUUGGUAAGGUAACGGCCUAUCAAGGCUACGAUGCGUAGCCGAACUGAGAGAGUGAUCGGCCACCUGAGAGCGGGGACACCGUCCAGGCGACUACGGGAGGCACCAGAAGGGAAUCGUACGCAAUGGGCGGAAGUCUUGCGGAACAACGCCGCGUGAGUGAUGAAGAUGUUCGGAUCGUAAAACUCUGUUAUUAGGGAAGAACCAAUUUGUAAGUAAAUAUGCCCGUCGUGACGGUACCUGAUCAGAAAGCCACGGCUAACUACGUG
rnacentral:rRNA from 1 species